AUGAUGCAAAAAUUUCGGACUUUUAGUGCAGAAUCACCGCACGUGCGGGGCCCAGGGCCGCACGUGCGGGAACCUCAGCCGCACGUGCGGGAGUCACUGCCGCACGUGCGGGAAAAUGGCAAAAGUCUGGCCUUCAACACUGCAAAAAAAGCACGUGCGGGGCCUCAAUGCCGCACGUGCGGGAGGUGUGCCACACGUGCCGGGAGAUCCUAGCCGCACGUACGGCUCAAGGCAGAAAAGUUGGGAUGCUCCGUUUUGCGUGUUGGGUCCUCUAAUGUUGUCAAAACCUGCAAUUUAUAUUGUUUGAAUGAAACACCUCAAAAGGAAGUGCACCGCCACAACACAGUAAUCAACCAGGAGGUCGAUCUUAGCUCGGCAUCGUCAUACUUUUGUCAGCCUAGGCACAGCCAAGCUUGGGGUC